rnacentral:rRNA from 1 species
GUCUACGGCCAUGCUACCCUGAACAAGCCGGAUCCCGUCUGAUCUCAGAAGCUAAGCAGAGUCGAGCCUGGUUAGUACCUGAAUGGGAAACUACCUAGGAAGACUAGGUGCUAUAGGCA